rnacentral:rRNA from 1 species
CCGCAAGGGUGAGUAAAGUGGCGUACGGGUGAGUAACACGUGGGUAAUCUACCUUCUGGUGGGGGAUAACUCUGGGAAACCGGAGCUAAUACCGCAUAAGCCUGAAAAGGGAAAGGGGAAAUUCGCCGGAAGAGGAGCCCGCGGCCGAUUAGCUAGUUGGUGGGGUAAAGGCCUACCAAGGCGACGAUCGGUAGCCGGCCUGAGAGGGCACACGGCCACACUGGCACUGAAACACGGGCCAGACUCCUACGGGAGGCAGCAGUGGGGAAUCUUGCACAAUGGGGGCAACCCUGAUGCAGCGACGCCGCGUGAGCGAUUAAGCCCUUCGGGGUGUAAAGCUCUUUCGGCAGGAACGAUAAUGACGGUACCUGAAGAAGAAGCUGCGGCUAACUACGUGCCAGCAGCCGCGGUAAUACGUAGGCAGCGAGCGUUGUUCGGAGUUACUGGGCGUAAAGGGUGCGUAGGCGGUUUUCUAAGUCUGGUGUGAAAUCUCCCGGCUCAACUGGGAGGGUGCGCUAGAAACUGGAAAGCUCAGAGUAUGGGAGAGGUAGGCGGAAUUCCUGGUGUAGCGGUGAAAUGCGUAGAUAUCAGGAGGAACACCUGUGGUGUAGACGGCUUACUGGACCAUGACUGACGCUGAGGAGCGAAAGCAUGGGGAGCGAACAGGAUUAGA